GCAGCAGCCGCGGGAAUACGGAGGGGGCUAGCGUUGUUCGGAAUUACUGGGCGUAAAGCGCACGUAGGCGGCUUGGUAAGUUAGAGGUGAAAGCCCCCGGCUCAACCGGGGAGGGUCAUUGGAAACUGGGAAACUUGAGUGCAGAAGAGGAGAGUGGAAUUCCACGUGUAGCGGUGAAAUGCGUAGAGAUGUGGAGGAACAUCAGUGGCGAAGGCUGCCAUCUGGGACAACACUGACGCUGAGGCACGAAAGCGUGGGGAGCAAACAGGAUUAGAUACCCCAGUAGUCCCUGUCUCUUAUAC
rnacentral:rRNA from 1 species